AUCAUAAUGAGCACUGGUUCUGAAGUAGAGAUUGCUGUGAAGGCUGCCGAAGAGUUGACGAAGGAGGGGAAGACCGUCCGCGUUGUGUCAUUUGUCUGCUGGGAGCUUUUUGACGAGCAGUCCGAUGAAUACAAGGAGAGCGUGCUCCCUGAGGCUGUCACCGCAAGGAUCAGCAUUGAAGCUGGCUCUACCCUCGGAUGGCAAAAGUACGUCGGGUCCAAGGGCAAGACCAUCGGCAUCGACAAGUUCGGCGCCAGCGCUCCUGCCCCCAAGAUCUACAAGGAGUACGGCAUCACUGCAGAGAACGUCAUCGCCGCAGCCAAGAGCCUGUAAGACCAGCACACUCGUUCAGGUUCUGUCAUCAUUGGUGCCAGAGAACUACACCACACUUGUGAAGGUCUCGUGCCCAGAAAGCUUGGAAUAACGGAGGGAGAGGAGGAUGCCUGCGUCGGAGCGUGAGUGGUAUUUCUAGGCCUGUAAUAAACAAUGCCUUUUCCAUUUGCGUUGUCUUACAUUCGAUACAUAUCGCCCCCCUUAGAUGAUUCGUGGAGGGGGUGAGCCUGAUCAAAUUGGGGACUGGUUUUUGUUUAUUGUUCUACAUUGAACUGAUACUCGUGCUUGCGAUGUUUUCUUUCCUUUCUUCCCCCGUGAUCAUCAUCUCCAUGGGUUCUGCGCCCUUGUAGUUUGCUGUUUGCUCCUCUUCCCCUU
rnacentral:lncRNA from 1 species